rnacentral:rRNA from 1 species
GAUGAACGCUGGCGGCGUGCCUAAUACAUGCAAGUCGAGCGAACAGAUAAGGAGCUUGCUCCUUUGACGUUAGCGGCGGACGGGUGAGUAACACGUGGGUAACCUACCUAUAAGACUGGAAUAACUCCGGGAAACCGGGGCUAAUGCCGGAUAACAUUUAGAACCGCAUGGUUCUAAAGUGAAAGAUGGUUUUACUAUCACUUAUAGAUGGACCCGCGCCGUAUUAGCUAGCUGGUAAGGUAACGGCUUACCAAGGCAACGAUACGUAGCCGACCUGAGAGGGUGAUCGGCCACACUGGAACUGAGACACGGUCCAGACUCCUACGGGAGGCAGCAGUAGGGAAUCUUCCGCAAUGGGCGAAAGCCUGACGGAGCAACGCCGCGUGAGUGAUGAAGGUCUUCGGAUCGUAAAACUCUGUUAUUAGGGAAGAACAAAUGUGUAAGUAACUGUGCACGUCUUGACGGUACCUAAUCAGAAAGCCACGGCUAACUACGUG